GGGGGAUAUUGCACAAUGGGGGAAACCCUGAUGCAGCGACGCCGCGUGGAGGAAGAAGGUUUUCGGAUUGUAAACUCCUGUCGUUAGGGACGAUAAUGACGGUACCUAACAAGAAAGCACCGGCUAACUACGUGCCAGCAGCCGCGGUAAAACGUAGGGUGCAAGCGUUGUCCGGAAUUACUGGGUGUAAAGGGAGCGCAGGCGGGAAGACAAGUUGGAAGUGAAAACCAUGGGCUCAACCCAUGAAUUGCUUUCAAAACUGUUUUUCUUGAGUAGUGCAGAGGUAGAUGGAAUUCCCGGUGUAGCGGUGGAAUGCGUAGAUAUCGGGAGGAACACCAGUGGCGAAGGCGGUCUACUGGGCACCAACUGACGCUGAGGCUCGAAAGUGUGGGUAGCAAACAGGAUUAGAUACCCUGGUAGUCCACACCGUAAACGAUGAUUACUAGGUGUUGGAGGAUUGACCCCUUCAGUGCCGCAGUUAACACAAUAAGUAAUCCACCUGGGGAGUACGACCGCAAGGUUGAAACUCAAAGGAAUUGACGGGGGCCCGCACAAGCAGUGGAGUAUGUGGUUUAAUUCGACGCAACGCGAAGAACCUUACCAAGUCUUGACAUCCCUUGACAGACAUAGAAAUAUGUAAUCUCUUCGGAGCAAGGAGACAGGUGGUGCAUGGUUGUCGUCAGCUCGUGUCGUGAGAUGUUGGGUUAAGUCCCGCAACGAGCGCAACCCUUAUGGUCAGUUACUACGCAAGAGGACUCUGGCCAGACUGCCGUUGACAAAACGGAGGAAGGUGGGGAUGACGUCAAAUCAUCAUGCCCUUUAUGACUUGGGCUACACACGUACUACAAUGGCGUUAAACAAAGAGAAGCAAGACCGCGAGGUGGAGCAAAACUCAGAAACAACGUCCCAGUUCGGACUGCAGGCUGCAACUCGCCUGCACGAAGUCGGAAUUGCUAGUAAUCGUGGAUCAGCAUGCCACGGUGAAUACGUUCCCG
rnacentral:rRNA from 1 species